rnacentral:rRNA from 1 species
AUGGUUCUUGUCUGUGGACCAGCAAUCCAUCAACUUGAGAGCCACGAUGCAGAGAAAGACGAUGGCCACCAACACCGCAGAGUAGACGAUGGAGAUCUUGUCCCGGCAGGUUCCGGCGCCGUAGGCGCCCACGAGGCUAAGGAGGUCCAGAAUCAUGAAGCCCCGCAGCGGCAGGACGACCCCGAUGGCGUCAUUCUUCUUCUUCUCCUUCUCCUUGUCGUGCCGGAUGGCGAGGACAAGGAUGAGGACGAUGACCACGAGCGAGGCGGCGAAGGCGGUGGCGUUGCAGUAGAAGAAGGCGAGGUAGCGGCGGUAGUUGGUUUGGCGGAUGAUGGGGUCGCCGGCGAGUUGGCCGUCGUGGGUGACCUGCCAGACGCCGCCCGGCGGGUUGAAGCCGGCGGCGUAGGUGACGGUGACCACCAGGGUGGACAGCAGCAGGAGGUACUUCCGCAGGCUGUACUCCCAUGGCUGCUGGCACUGCCCCUGCCGCUGCCCGGACGCCGUUGCCUGCCGGUCGGACUCAUCCGUGUGCAUUGCCGGCUGGACUGCAGUGGCGGCGGCGAUUCCACUCUCUCAAAUCUCAAGCUCUCAGCAAGUGUAGCUCUUUCUUACUACUGUGAUGCAGAGAUCAUGUGGGACGAUGGGAAAGAGAGGGAGAGUUGCGUGGUAAUAAGACGACUUGACUCGGCGCGUCGUCCGGAGGGAAGGUGCCGAGUCCGUGCGCUCUGCGCCUAUGCAUAUUCAAAUCCUGACGGAGCGCCACUAUUUUACUGCCACUGCUCUAUAUUUUUACAGCAACUCGGGCGCGUGUAA